GGUACCCUGGUAAGCGAAAGCGUAGGGUAUGUGAUGAAUACCUGGUGAGCAUAUGGGUUCUCCCUUUUAUUUGAGUUGUCUUGUUUUUUGGGGGACUCUGAUUUAUGUUUAUGGUCCUUUUUUGGUUAGGAUGGUGGUGAGGUGUCGGACAUGAAGAAUGACAAGGUAUGAAUGGUUUUCUUUUGUGGGGUGGCUGUUUUUAGUGUAUAUCUAGUGAACCUGACUGUGUUAUUGUAGGAAUCCGGGGAGGUGUCUGUCGAAAAGUGUAUGCAGAAGACAAUCACCCUGCACCCCAAUCUCUUUAAGGAUGACAGCAUAAGUUUUGGCGGAUGUAUGAAAGCCAGAUCAGAGGUGAUUGCGUGGCGAAGCAAUUGUUGUAGCAGGGUAAGUGAAAAAUGAGCUUCAUGUGUCGUACAUAUAUUCACUAUUUGGGUGUAAUUUGAUGUGAUUAUGUUGGCAGCCCCCAAAUAUGAAAUGCAGAAUCGAAUCUUUUGGUCGCAUAUGCCAGAAAUUCGAUGACCGUAGGAAACGCUGGGUAAUUGAAAUGGGUUUUGGUGGGCUGCUCCAUCUAGCGUUUGACAUGCAUUUACCAAGAAUGUUGUCUUACUGGCUGAUGACCCGGAUAGACUCGAUAAGCCAGAAGUUGGUCACUUCUGGUAGGGAGUUUAAGUUUUCCAAAAACCAAGUGCGGUGGGUGUUAGGCAUUCCUAAUGGUUCAAGAGAUGUGUCGUCCUCAAAAACUAUGACUGAAGAGUGUCGGGAGAAAGUGCAGAACAUUCUAUUGACCUAUGGAAAAUCUUGGGAGUCCAAGUCUAGCAAACCUAGUGGGCGGGUGUACACAUCUGUAGGGAUACCAGUUACCGGGGAGAUGAUGGAUCGUUUAGAGCGAUAUUUUGGGGAAGAUGAGGAGGAGGAUUUCAAGACAUUGUUUUUGAUAGUGGCGCUGGAGAUGGUGUUGUGCCCAACGCAGAGUCCCAGGCUUGCGGGUAAUCUUCUUCCCGCAAUAAGUUGUGCAAUGGAUGCGGCUGAGUAUGACUGGUGUGGGUUGGUGUUGUCCAAAUUCAUGGAUAGUGUGACUAGUUUUGUGCGACGGUUCUACGCAACUGGGGUAGCUGGUGGCUGCGGUGGAUGUGCAAUAUUUGCUGUUGUAUAACUUUCAUAUCUUUAGUGGCUUUCCUCUUACCAAUCGUUUAAUUGUUUUGUAUUCUCACUAAAGUCUUUGUGGUUUCAGAUUUUUUAUUUGGAUCGGUUGGAUAGGGAUCCGGUUGAGUGGGAUGCCUUUCCUAGAAUUAAGGUAUGGAACAUGCAACAGAUUGGGAAGGCAGCUAAGUGUGAUAAGUUAUGUUCUGGGGACUUUGGAAAAUUAGGGGCAAUUGUUUGUGUGAAUUCAUUUGAAAUUAAUCCUUGUUGUAGUUAUAACCGUAGUUGAUUUGAUAUGUGGUAAUUGGUCUACAUGUAUUAGGUGUUGGAUGUAGCCUAUGGUGAAAAGCAUCCUAGAGAUGUGAGGGAUACUGAAGGACCUGACCAAAGUGAAUUAGUUAAGGAACUGCCACAACCUGGAGUAGGAUUUAUGUAUCGAAAGAGGAGGGGUAGAACGACUUCUUAUAAGGGUUCUAUGCAGAUGAAAUCCAUAUCCCCAUGAGAGUAUUACUCUUGUCCUUUAAAUUUGUUAAUUUUCAAUCCAAUAAACUCUGUCCACAGUUUUGUUCUAUGUUCUGUAUGUUUGUGUUGUGUGUAAUAAAUUUUCUGCAUGUAUUGUGUAAUAAGGGACUUUACUUGAACUUGGUUAGUGGCCAUGGUCUGAAAAUAAUUAUUGCCAAAUUUUCCCAAGUCUUUAUGUGUUAUUUAAUCAGUUAUGUUUGUGCUUCUGCACUCUACUUAUUAUUUAUGUGAUUCACUUUCGUGUAAGCUUAAUAGAGAUAGAUGGUUGUUGUAUUUGCUGUUGUUUUAUGUAUGCCAAACCGUUUUUUUUUUUUUUUGCAGAACUUAACAAUCUUUAGAUCCAACAAGGAAAUAUAUGUACUUGAUUUAAUGAUACCCAUAAAUCUAUAUUAAGAGGCUCAAUUGAGUUUAAAAUAUCCAAUGACUUCAUACACUGGCGCAUGAAAUAACUAUAUUUGGACCAAAACGCCUAAAUACAAAUACACAUACACUUAUGUUAAUAGGCCCAAC